GGAGAUGUGGCCGAGUGGUUUAAGGCAGCAGUCUUGAAAACUGCCGACGGUGUGAGCCGUCCGUGAGUUCGAAUCUCACCGUCUCCG
rnacentral:tRNA from 1 species